rnacentral:lncRNA from 1 species
AUUUGCCUUACAGGCUGUUGUCGCUCUAAGGCUCACAUGAGGGAAUGUGGAUGAAAGGCUUUGGAAAGUGCACAAGCAGCUCUGGUUCUCAUCACCCCACGCUGCUGCCUAUCAGCUCAUCUGCAGUGUGUGGCGUUAGGACCCUGAUUCCUGAAUUGCUAGAGAAUGAUCCAGUGGAGCUUCCAAGAAGUGUGCCCAGCUGGGCUGGAAAGAAAAAAGACUGGAAAAAGGGACUCCGAUGCCGGUUGUCUAAACAGAGAGAGUGUUUCCCUCCUGGACAGGAUCACCCUAUAUAAGACACCCCUCCACCUCCACCAUUGGCCUUCAUAUCGAGGAUUAGGUAACAGAGAAACUAAGUUGGAAUUGCUCCAGGAAGGGAGUGGGGAGCUGGCGCUGGUUUAGAAAGAAGGCAAGUGGCCAGACGUAAGGACUGAAUGAUUUCCCUCGGGCUAGGAAGGGUUUCAGAGUUUCCAGGAAUGAAAAUUGUCCCUGGCUUGUAUGCACUCCCUGUGUGUGUGUAGCAGGUGGAGUGAGGAGAGGUGCAUGAGGUGUCUGUAAAAGGGUAUUCUGGGGCCUGGGCUCACCAAACACCCCCUUCCCCACCACGCC